rnacentral:rRNA from 1 species
GUAUGCCUAAAACAUGCAAGUCGAACGAUGAAGCCCAGCUUGCUGGGUGGAUUAGUGGCGAACGGGUGAGUAACACGUGAGUAACCUGCCCCCGACUCUGGGAUAAGCCCGGGAAACUGGGUCUAAUACCGGAUAUUACCUUUGACCGCAUGGUUGUUGGUGGAAAGAUUUAUCGGUGGGGGAUGGACUCGCGGCCUAUCAGCUUGUUGGUGAGGUAAUGGCUCACCAAGGCGACGACGGGUAGCCGGCCUGAGAGGGUGACCGGCCACACUGGGACUGAGACACGGCCCAGACUCCUACGGGAGGCAGCAGUGGGGAAUAUUGCACAAUGGGCGAAAGCCUGAUGCAGCGACGCCGCGUGAGGGAUGACGGCCUUCGGGUUGUAAACCUCUUUCAGUAGGGAAGAAGCGAAAGUGACGGUACCUGCAGAAGAAGCGCCGGCUAACUACGUGCCAGCAGCCGCGGUAAUACGUAGGGCGCAAGCGUUAUCCGGAUUUAUUGGGCGUAAAGAGCUCGUAGGCGGUUUGUCGCGUCUGCCGUGAAAGUCCGAGGCUCAACCUCGGAUCUGCGGUGGGUACGGGCAGACUAGAGUGAUGUAGGGGAGACUGGAAUUCCUGGUGUAGCGGUGAAAUGCGCAGAUAUCAGGAGGAACACCGAUGGCGAAGGCAGGUCUCUGGGCAUUUACUGACGCUGAGGAGCGAAAGCAUGGGGAGCGAACAGGAUUAGAUACUCCUGGUAGUCCAUGCCGUAAACGUUGGGCACUAGGUGUGGGGGACAUUCCACGUUUUCCGCGCCGUAGCUAACGCAUUAAGUGCCCCGCCUGGGGAGUACGGCCGCRAGGCUAAAACUCAAAGGAAUUGACGGGGGCCYGCCACAAGCGGCGGAGCAUGCGGAUUAAUUCGAUGCAACGCGAGGAACCUUACCAAGGCUUGACAUGUGAGACCGCCUCAGGAGAUGGGGUUUCCCUUCGGGGGCUGGUUCACAGGUGGUGCAUGGUUGUCGUCAGCUCGUGUCGUGAGAUGUUGGGUUAAGUCCCGCAACGAGCGCAACCCUCGUUCCAUGUUGCCAGCACGUAAAGGUGGGGACUCAUGGGAGACUGCCGGGGUCAACUCGGAGGAAGGUGGGGAUGACGUCAAAUCAUCAUGCCCCUUAUGUCUUGGGCUUCACGCAUGCUACAAUGGCCGGUACAAUGGGUUGCGAUACUGUGAGGUGGAGCUAAUCCCUAAAAGCCGGUCUCAGUUCGGAUUGGGGUCUGCAACUCGACCCCAUGAAGUCGGAGUCGCUAGUAAUCGCAGAUCAGCAACGCUGCGGUGAAUACGUUCCCGGGCCUUGUACACACCGCCCGUCAAGUCACGAAAGUUGGUAACACCCGAAGCCGAUGGCCUAACC